CCCUUAGAUGUUCUGGGCCGCACGCGCGCUACACUGAUGCAUUCAACGAGUCUAAAACCUGGUCUGAGAGGGCUGGGUAAUCUUUUGAAAGUGCAUCGUGAUUGGGAUAGAUGAUUGCAAUUCUUCAUCUUCAACGAGGAAUGCCUAGUAAACGCAAGUCAUCAGCUUGCAUUGAUUACGUCCCUGCCCUUUGUACACACCGCCCGUCGCUCCUACCGAUUGAACGAUCCGAUGAAAACUGUGGAUUGAGAGUCUGAGUGGGUUCGCCUACCUCAACUUUCGAGAAGCGGUUUAAAUCUUAUCGUUUAGGGGAAGGAGAAGUCGUAACA
rnacentral:rRNA from 1 species